GGGGAUAUAGCUCAGUGGUAGAGCCUUUGCCUAGCAUGUUCAAGGAUGCGGGUUCAAGCCCCAGCCUUCCCCC
rnacentral:tRNA from 1 species